ACAAUGCAGUCGAGCGGCAGCCGGGUGCUUGCACCUGGUGGCGAGUGGCGAACGGGUGAGUAAUACAUCGGAACAUGCCCUGCAUUGGGGGAUAACCCGGCGAAGGCCGGAUUAAUACCGCCGACGAUCUACUGAUGAAGGCGGGGGACCUUCUGGCCUCGCGCUUUAGGGGUGGCCGAUGGAUGAUUACCUAGUUGGUGGGGUAAAUGCCUACCAAGGCGACCAUCAAUAGCUGGUCUGAGAGGACAACCGACCACACUGGGACUGACACACGGCCCGAACUCCUACGGGAGGCAGCAGUGGGGAAUUUUGGACAAUGGGCGAAAGCCUGAUCCAGCAAUGCCGCGUGUGUGAACAAGGCCUUCGGGUUGUAAAGCACUUUUGUCCGGAAAGAAAUCCUUGGCUCUAAUACAGUCGGGGGAUGACGGUACCGGAAGAAUAAGCACCGGCUAACUACCUGCCAGCAGCCGCGGUAAUACGUAGGGUGCGAGCGUUAAUCGGAAUUACUGGGCGUAAAGCGUGCGCAGGCGGUUUGCUAAGACCGAUGUGAAAUCCCCGGGCUCAACCUGGGAACUGCAUUGGUGACUGGCAGGCUAGAGUAUGGCAGAUGGGGGUAGAAUUCCACGUGUAGCAUUGAUGUGCGUAGAGAUGUGGAGGAAUACCGAUGGCGAACGCAGCCCCCUGGGGCCAUACUGACGCUCAUGC
rnacentral:rRNA from 1 species